rnacentral:rRNA from 1 species
GAUGAACGCUGGCGGCGUGCCUAAUACAUGCAAGUCGAGCGAACGGACGAGAAGCUUGCUUCUCUGAUGUUAGCGGCGGACGGGUGAGUAACACGUGGAUAACCUACCUAUAAGACUGGGAUAACUUCGGGAAACCGGAGCUAAUACCGGAUGAUAUUUUGAACCGCAUGGUUCAAAAUUGAAAAACGGUCUUUCUGUCACUUAUAGAUGGAUCCGCGCUGCAUUAGCUAGUUGGUAAGGUAACGGCUUACCAAGGCAACGAUGCAUAGCCGCCCUGAGAGGGUGAUCGGACACACUGGAACUGAGACACGGUCCAGACUCCUACGGGAGGCAGCAGUAGGGAAUCUUCCGCAAUGGGCGAAAGCCUGACGGAGCAACGCCGCGUGAGUGAUGAAGGUCUUCGGAUCGUAAAACUCUGUUAUUAGGGAAGAACAUAUGUGUAAGUAACUGUGCACAUCUUGACGGUACCUAAUCAGAAAGCCACGGCUAACUACGUG